rnacentral:rRNA from 1 species
CCCAGACUCCUACGGGAGGCAGCAGUGGGGAAUAUUGGGCAAUGGGCGCAAGCCUGACCCAGCAACGCCGCGUGAAGGAAGAAGGCUUUCGGGUUGUAAACUUCUUUUAAGAGGGAAGAGCAGAAGACGGUACCUCUUGAAUAAGCCACGGCUAACUACGUGCCAGCAGCCGCGGUAAUACGUAGGUGGCAAGCGUUGUCCGGAUUUACUGGGUGUAAAGGGCGUGCAGCCGGGAAUGCAAGUCAGAUGUGAAAUCCCGCGGCUCAACCGCGGAACCGCAUUUGAAACUGUGCUUCUUGAGUGCUGGAGAGGCAGACGGAAUUCCUAGUGUAGCGGUGAAAUGCGUAGAUAUUAGGAGGAACACCAGUGGCGAAGGCGGAUUGCUGGGCAGUAACUGACGCUGAGGCGCGAAAGCGUGGGGAGCAAACAGGAUUAGAUACCCCCGUA